CAAUGUUCUAAACCCUUAAGCUCUAAGCUUUGCUUAAUAGUCCCUCCUUCCCUCCUCAGCCCCAGUACAUGCCCUUCGUCCCUCUGGCUUUCUUCCUAAGGUUUCUGCAUCUUCACAGGGCUUGGAAGGGGCACUCUCUUCAUCCAGAUUAUUGUGAUUCUUUCUUCAGGUUCCAGGAUUCUCUGAGAGAGCCUUCUCUUCCACAUCAGGGAGGAAAAUAUGGAGAGCCACAUGAUGACUGAUGAUAGGAGAGGGCUCCAAACCUCAAGGAAACAGUGCUGACUGAUGAAAUCAGAGCAUCUUGAGGGCAAGGCUGGGCCUUUGUUUGUGUUUCCUCAGGGCCUAGCAGAUGGUCUGGCCGAGAAUUACAUGACAAAAAUGGCAUUAGAGAAUGACAGAAGCAAAUCGUUGAUACGCUCUGUAAUGUUGUCUGAUAGACAUGAAGUUUAUGAAUCUCUUUAACAAAUGGAUUUGCAAACAACAUCUGGGAGAGAAGAAUUUCAUCAAG